rnacentral:rRNA from 1 species
GACGAACGCUGGCGGCGUGCUUAACACAUGCAAGUCGAACGGAAAGGCCCUGCUUUUGUGGGGUGCUCGAGUGGCGAACGGGUGAGUAACACGUGAGUAACCUGCCCUUGACUUUGGGAUAACUUCAGGAAACUGGGGCUAAUACCGGAUAGGAGCUCCUGCUGCAUGGUGGGGGUUGGAAAGUUUCGGCGGUUGGGGAUGGACUCGCGGCUUAUCAGCUUGUUGGUGGGGUAGUGGCUUACCAAGGCUUUGACGGGUAGCCGGCCUGAGAGGGUGACCGGCCACAUUGGGACUGAGGUACGGCCCAGACUCCUACGGGAGGCAGCAGUGGGGAAUAUUGCACAAUGGGGGGAAGCCUGAUGCAGCAACGCCGCGUGCGGGAUGACGGCCUUCGGGUUGUAAACCGCUUUCGCCUGUGACGAAGCGUGAGUGACGGUAAUGGGUAAAGAAGCACCGGCUAACUACGUG